UUUUUAUUCUUUCUCUUUUGCUUUCUUUCUGCUGAAUGUGUGUAUGUAGCAAUGGUGUCCCUGGUGAUGAAUGGAACUGCUAUUUAUAGCCGAGUAUGAGUCAGUGCAGAAACCUUUCAAAUUACCAACUGAAAAGCUUACAUAUCCCAUGACUUUUGCUUUCUGAUUUUAAUAUUAAAACUGCCUAUGAAUGCUGCCCAUGAUUGCUGAUUCGUAACUGCUCAUGGCAUUCUGGUGACUGCUUCAGAGUUGCCUAAAUGGUUUUGAAUAUCUGACACAAUUCUGAUUUUUUGGUAUUCUCUAUUUGUUGAUUAAUAACUGAAAGAAUGGAUAUUUAUUGGUUGGUUUUAUUGCAUCAAUUUGUCCCCUUUUAUUCUGAUUUAAGGCUGCCCAUGAAUGCCAUUUUGUAUGUAACUGAAGAAAUUUUAGCUGAUUGCUUGCUACAUGUGUUAGAACACGUGACUGAAAAAUAUUAAUAAGCGAUUGUAACUGAAAUGACUGAUUCAUGCCUCAUCGUGAUUCUUGAUUGCCUUUGGUGUCUUAUGAUCCUCUACACUUAUUCUGAUUUAUUAGCCGUAGUAAUAUAUUCUAUACCAUUCUAUUCUUGGUGUACCUUCGUGAGAGCCUUAAUGUCUUGGUUUUCUUUAAUGUUCCAAAAACACAAAUGACAGGUGUUAACAUCAGCGAGAGCCAUAUGGCUUUGGAGUAAAUUGGAAGUAUAGCCAUUGCCGGUGGAAUAGGAUGAAGGCUUCAAAUAAAGUAUAUGAAGUGGAUUUUUGGCUUUAGUUUAAAAAACACAUACUUUUUGGUAUAUUUUUCUUCCGUGUAGUUUCAUUCCAAUGAUUACAAUUGGUAUUUGUAUUGAUUAUCGGUUAUUUGUAACAAAUAUUAGUAGGCAUAAUGAAUGGUAUAAAUUUGACAAAAGAUACCAUGAUAUCUAAUAAUCGAACUGUAGCAG
rnacentral:lncRNA from 1 species